GUUCGGUGCUUUGUAUCAAUCUAUUAUGGAUGAGCGUGACGAGGAGGAGGACAUGAAAGAAGCCUUCAAUGUGUUUGAUCAAAAUGGUGAUGGGUAUAUUAGUGUUGAUGAGUUGAGAUCUGUGUUGGCUGCUCUUGGGGUUAAACAAGGGAGGACUUUAGAAGAUUGCAAGACUAUGACCAUUCCAUCACCAUCAACAUCCACCUUCAUGA
rnacentral:misc_RNA from 1 species